CAGUGAUUUUCAAGGUCAGGAGUUCCUUAUCAUUGUUUCCCGUACUAGCUAUGUAGGCUGCUGGGGAUUUUUGCCAUUUUACAGUCACCAGCCUUCCAUUCUGUGGACCUUUAUUUCCUUCUGGUGAAUUUCUUACCUCCCACUGUGGGGACUAAAAGGGCCAGGCCCUUCCUCUACCAACCUUAGGACAGCCAGGGGUUGGGCACCUGUCCCUAAUCAGACUCUAUUCUGAGACUGUGAAGAACAAUGCAGGCCCUGAGAGUGCAGGGGGCUUGAAGCCAGGCUGUGGUCCCCUUGCUCAGUCGUCAGAGUUCCUAUACAGUCUACAGAGUUCCUGGCCUCACCCAAUCCCCCUCCAAUGGAGUCCUCUUGCUCAGAGAGAGAGAGAGAGGCCACCUCCAGUUCUUGUAGCUACAAGGCAUACUUAAAGAAUAAAUUUUUGGUAAAUAAUUCUUCCUGUGUAUAAGUCCUAUUUUUGUUUCCACUUGAAUUGUAUGUACCUGCGGGCAGUUCCCGCUUCCUCCUAAGCCCAGAGCUUGGUGUGGCUUAAUGGCGAGAAAGGGGCUUUGGAGCCAGAAGGCUUGAGCACGAGGCUCAGCCCCAGCGCUCACCCACUGUGGUUGCUUGGUUUCAUCAUGUGGCAUCUUUAGUCUGGACUCUGCAUUUGUAAAGUGAGUGUGAUGCUUAGAAUGGUUACCCUCCUUCCAGGCUUCAGGGCCUAUGUGAGGGUCCCAUGAGUUACCUGGGAACCAGUCUGAAGGGACCUUAUCUCCUUCAUAUUCAGCAAACAGAAGCCAAUGCCACCCUGCUCCCAAGGAGGAGACGCACAAGCAGACAGGUGAUUGUCUAGGUCGGCCGUACAGGCAUGUGACAGAGGCAGCCACGCAGGAGUUCGGAAGGGCCCCGCACUUGGCUUAGGCUCUGUUCUCACCAUCUUGAAAUUCUCAACAGUUUUGAACAAGGGGUCCUGCACUUUCAUUUUCCACUGGGCCUGCGGAUUAUUUAGUGAUUAAAAUACUCUGAUUAAAAUAUUGUGUGAACUGAGAGCACAUACAGUGUGAGUCCAUUUGUAUGAAGUGUGAAAACAGGUGACACUAAUCUAAAGGGUAGAAGUAGGGGUGGUAGUUAUGGGGGCUGAGUGAGGAGGGAGCGGGG
rnacentral:lncRNA from 1 species